UGGGGCGUAGCCAAGUGGUAAGGCAGCGGAUUUUGAUUCCGCCAUUCGGAGGUUCGAUCCCUCCCGCCCCUG
rnacentral:tRNA from 1 species